AUGCAGAUGUUGUUAUAUCCAUAAAAUUGUAUCAAAGGGUUGUCAUGAUAAUUGACAUG
rnacentral:sRNA from 1 species